AGCGGUAACAGCUCAAAUUUGAAAUCUGGGUCUUUUAGGCUCCGAGUUGUAAUUUGUAGAAGAUGCUUUGGGUGCGGCCCCGGUCUAAGUUCCUUGGAACAGGACGUCAUAGAGGGUGAGAAUCCCGUAUGUGAUCGGUGGCUUGCGCCCGUGUAAAGCUCUUUCGACGAGUCGGGUUGUUUGGGAAUGCAGCUCUAAAUGGGUGGUAAAUUUCAUCUAAAGCUAAAUAUUGGCCAGAGACCGAUAGCGCACAAGUAGAGUGAUCGAAAGAUGAAAAGCACUUUGGAAAGAGAGUUAAACAGUACGUGAAAUUGUUGAAAGGGAAGCGCUUGCAACCAGACUUGCGCGGGGUUGAUCAUCCGGGGUUCUCCCCGGUGCACUCGGCCUCGCUCAGGCCAGCAUCGGUUUUGGUGGUUGGAUAAAGGCCUUGGGAAUGUGACUUCUUUCGGGGAGUGUUAUAGCCCUCGGUGCAAUGCAGCCUACCGGGACCGAGGACCGCGCUUCGGCUAGGAUGCUGGCGUAAUGGUUGUAAGCGACCCGUCUUGAAACACGGACCAAGGAGUCUAACAUCUAUGCGAGUGUUUGGGUGUCAAACCCAUACGCGUAAUGAAAGUGAACGGAGGUGAGAACCCUUAAGGGUGCAUCAUCGACCGAUCCUGAUGUCUUCGGAUGGAUUUGAGUAAGAGCAUAGCUGUUGGGACCCGAAAGAUGGUGAACUAUGCCUGAAUAGGGUGAAGCCAGAGGAAACUCUGGUGGAGGCUCGCAGCGGUUCUGACGUGCAAAUCGAUCGUCAAAUUUGGGCAUAGG
rnacentral:rRNA from 1 species